GACGAACGCUGGCGGCGUGCUUAACACAUGCAAGUCGAGCGGUAAGGCCCUUUCGGGGGGUACACGAGCGGCGAACGGGUGAGUAACACGUGGGUGACCUGCCCUCAGCUCUGGGAUAAGCCUGGGAAACCGGGUCUAAUACUGGAUAUGACUCCAUGACGCAUGUUGUGGGGUAGGAAAGCUUGUGCGGCUGAGGAUGGGCCCGCGGCCUAUCAGCUUGUUGGUGGGGUGANGGCCUACCAAGGCGACGACGGUAGCC
rnacentral:rRNA from 1 species